rnacentral:rRNA from 1 species
AUACGGAGGGUGCAAGCGUUAUCCGGAAUCAUUGGGUUUAAAGGGUCCGUAGGCGGGCUAAUAAGUCAGGGGUGAAAUCCCACAGCUUAACUGUGGAACUGCCCUUGAUACUGUUGGUCUUGAGUUACAGUGAAGUGGUUAGAAUGUGUAGUGUAGCGGUGAAAUGCAUAGAGAUUACACAGAAUACCGAUUGCGAAGGCAGAUCACUAACUGUAUACUGACGCUAAUGGACGAAAGCGUGGGGAGCGAACAGGAUUAGAAACCCUGGUAGUCC